GACGAACGCUGGCGGCGUGCUUAACACAUGCAAGUCGAACGAAGAGCGAUGGAAGCUUGCUUCUAUCAAUCUUAGUGGCGAACGGGUGAGUAACGCGUAAUCAACCUGCCCUUCAGAGGGGGACAACAGUUGGAAACGACUGCUAAUACCGCAUACGAUCCAAUCUCGGCAUCGAGGAUGGAUGAAAGGUGGCCUCUAUUUAUAAGCUAUCACUGAAGGAGGGGAUUGCGUCUGAUUAGCUAGUUGGAGGGGUAACGGCCCACCAAGGCGAUGAUCAGUAGCCGGUCUGAGAGGAUGAACGGCCACAUUGGGACUGAGACACGGCCCAGACUCCUACGGGAGGCAGCAGUGGGGAAUCUUCCGCAAUGGACGAAAGUCUGACGGAGCAACGCCGCGUGAGUGAUGACGGCCUUCGGGUUGUAAAGCUCUGUUAAUCGGGACGAAAGGUCCUCUUGCGAAUAGUUAGAGGAAUUGACGGUACCGGAAUAGAAAGCCACGGCUAACUACGUG
rnacentral:rRNA from 1 species